rnacentral:rRNA from 1 species
AUUGAACGCUGGCGGCAGGCCUAACACAUGCAAGUCGAACGCGUGGCGGACGGGUGAGUAAUGUCUGGGAAACUGCCUGAUGGAGGGGGAUAACUACUGGAAACGGUAGCUAAUACCGCAUACCAUCGGAUGUGCCCAGAUGGGAUUAGCUAGUAGGUGGGGUAAAGGCUCACCUAGGCGACGAUCCCUAGCUGGUCUGAGAGGGUGACCAGCCACACUGGGACUGAGACACGGUCCAGAAUCCGACGGGAGGGAGCAGGGGGGUAUAAGGCGCAAUGGGCGGAAGCCUGAUGCAGCCAAGCCGGGUGUGUGAAGGAGGCCGUGGGGUUGUAAAGUACUUUGAGGGGGGGGGCUUUACCCGCAAAAGGAGCAACGGGGAAAUCCGUGCCAGCAGCCGCGGUAAUAC